GCGGAUGUAGCUCAGUUGGUAGAGCGCAACCUUGCCAAGGUUGAUGUCGAGGGUUCGAGUCCCUUUAUCCGCU
rnacentral:tRNA from 2 species